AUUGAACGCUGGCGGCAGGCCUAACACAUGCAAGUCGAAUGGUAACAGGAAACAGCUUGCUGUUUCGCUGACGAGUGGCGGACGGGUGAGUAAUGUCUGGGAAACUGCCUGAUUGAGGGGGAUAACUACUGGAAACGGUAGCUAAUACCGCAUAACGUCGCAAGACCAAAGAGGGGGACCUUCGGGCCUCUUGCCAUCAGAUGUGCCCAGAUGGGAUUAGCUAGUAGGUGGGGUAACGGCUCACCUAGGCGACGAUCCCUAGCUGGUCUGAGAGGAUGACCAGCCACACUGGAACUGAGACACGGUCCAGACUCCUACGGGAGGCAGCAGUGGGGAAUAUUGGACAAUGGGCGCAAGCCUGAUGCAGCCAUGCCGCGUGUAUGAAGAAGGCCUUCGGGUUGUAAAGUACUUUCAGCGGGGAGGAAGGGCGUAAAGUUAAUACCUUUGCUCAUUGACGUUACCCGCAGAAGAAGCACCGGCUAACUCCGUG
rnacentral:rRNA from 1 species